GGGUGAGUAAUGUCUGGGAAACUGCCUGAUGGAGGGGGAUAACUACUGGAAACGGCAGCUAAUACCGCAUAACGUCGCAAGACCAAAGAGGGGGACCUUCGGGCCUCUUGCCAUCAGAUGUGCCCAGAUGGGAUUAGCUAGUAGGUGGGGUGACGGCUCACCUAGGCGACGAUCCCUAGCUGGUCUGAGAGGAUGACCAGCCACACUGGAACUGAGACACGGUCCAG
rnacentral:rRNA from 1 species